rnacentral:rRNA from 1 species
GAUGAACGCUGGCGGUGUGCCUAAUACAUGCAAGUCGUACGCAUUCUCGUUUCUGAUUGACGGUGCUUGCACCUAAUUGACGAGACAUUGGAAUGAGUGGCGGACGGGUGAGUAACACGUGGGUAACCUGCCCAGAAGUGGGGGAUAACAUUUGGAAACAGAUGCUAAUACCGCAUAAAGGUCAAAACCACAUGGUUUUGAUUUAAAAGAUGGCCUUUGUGCUAUCACUUCUGGAUGGACCCGCGGCGUAUUAGCUAGUUGGUAAGGUAACGGCUUACAAAGGCAAUGAUACGUAGCCGAACUGAGAGGUUGAUCGGCCACAAUGGGACCGAGACACGGCCCAUACUCCUACGGGAGGCAGCAGUAGGGAAUCUUCCACAAUGGGCGCAAGCCUGAUGGAGCAACACCGCGUGAGUGAAGAAGGGUUUCGGCUCGUAAAACUCUGUUGUUAAAGAAGAACGUAUCUAAGAGUAACUGCUUAGGUAGUGACGGUAUUUAACCAGAAAGCCACGGCUAACUACGUGCCAGCCGCCGCAGUAA